rnacentral:rRNA from 1 species
UACAGAGGGUGCAAGCGUUGUUCGGAAUUAUUGGGCGUAAAGGGCGCGUAGGCGGUGCGGUAAGUCUUUUGUGAAAUCUCCGGGCUCAACUCGGAGUCUGCAGGAGAAACUGCCGUGCUUGAGUAUGGGAGAGGUGAGUGGAAUUCCUGGUGUAGCGGUGAAAUGCGUAGAUAUCAGGAGGAACACCUGCGGUGUAGACGGCUUACUGGACCAUGACUGACGCUGAGGCACGAAAGCGUGGGGAGCAAACAGG